rnacentral:SRP_RNA from 1 species
GCUGGGUGUGGUGGCGCACACCUGUAGUCCCAGCUAUUUGGGAGGCUGAGGCAGGAGGAUCCCUUGAGCUCAGGAGUUCGAGGCUGCAAUCAGCUAUGAUUGUGCCAUCACACUUCAGUCUGGGCUACAAAGCAAGACCUUGCCUCUU